rnacentral:rRNA from 1 species
AUUGAACGCUGGGGCAUGCCUUACACAUGCAAGUCGAACGGCAACAGGUCUUCGGAUGCUGACGAGUGGCGAACGGGUGAGUAAUACAUCGGAACGUGCCUAGUAGUGGGGGAUAACUACUCGAAAGAGUGGCUAAUACCGCAUGAGAUCUACGGAUGAAAGCAGGGGAUCGCAAGACCUUGUGCUACUAGAGCGGCCGAUGGCAGAUUAGGUAGUUGGUGGGAUAAAAGCUUACCAAGUUGACGAUCUGUAGCUGGUCUGAGAGGACGAUCAGCCACACUGAGACUGAGACACGGCCCAGACUCCUACGGGAGGCAGCAGUGGGGAAUUUUGGACAAUGGGCGCAAGCCUGAUCCAGCAAUGCCGCGUGCAGGAUGAAGGCCUUCGGGUUGUAAACUGCUUUUGUACGGAACGAAAAGCCCCGGGUUAAUACCCUGGGGUCAUGACGGUACCGUAAGAAUAAGCACCGGCUAACUACGUGCCAGCCGCCGCAGUAA